UUAUGAAUCAGCUAGGGAUCUUGUUAAAAUACAAAUUCUGAUUUAGUAAGUCUGGGGUAGAGCUCAAGAUUAUGCAUUUUUAACUAGUUCCCAGGAGUGCCCAU
rnacentral:pre_miRNA from 1 species